rnacentral:piRNA from 1 species
UCCUGAAAAAACUAGGAGAAUUUCUUCAGAA